rnacentral:rRNA from 1 species
UAGGGAAUCUUCCACAAUGGACGCAAGUCUGAUGGAGCAACGCCGCGUGAGUGAAGAAGGUUUUCGGAUCGUAAAGCUCUGUUGUUGGUGAAGAAGGAUAGAGGCAGUAACUGGUCUUUAUUUGACGGUAAUCAACCAGAAAGUCACGGCUAACUACGUGCCAGCAGCCGCGGUAAUACGUAGGUGGCAAGCGUUGUCCGGAUUUAUUGGCGUAAAGCGAGCGCAGGCGGAAUGAUAAGUCUGAUGUGAAAGCCAACGGCUCAACCGUGGAACUGCAUCGGAAACUGUCAUUCUUGAGUGCAGAAGAGGAGAGUGGAAUUCCAUGUGUAGCGGUGGAAUGCGUAGAUAUAUGGAAGAACACCAGUGGCGAAGGCGGCUCUCUGGUCUGCAACUGACGCUGAGGCUCGGAAGCAUGGGUAGCGAACAGG